GAGAGCCAUGUCAUUGCCCGGUUAUCACCCAUGCAACACAGAAGCACGCUGCUGGGCGGAGUUUCGACUGUUUUAGAAAUUUUUGACUCUUCCCCAUUGGUCAACGCACACAACCGCGCGACAACAGCAACCUAAGGUUAGAAAAAAAACGGAAGUCCGAUAAAAUGAUGGAUCUAUGCAUCUCACGCUCGAUGAACUUUAAUUCCAGCACAUUUCUUCGUUUGGCUUUUGUUUUUCAUUUCCGGUUUAUUAAUUUGUAUUGGAGCGAGAAGGAAGAUGCGCUUCGAUAUGUGUAUGCAUAUAGACUACAUGUUGAAAAUGGAUUUCGAAUCCAGAAAUUUUUGAUGGACAGCUAGAAUGCCGGGGGGCGACACGGUGGAAGCAGUGAGGUGUGAAGGAACAAAUUGAUCAUGAUGACUUGCUAUACCAUCAGCGAAGAAAUGGAAUUAUGUGCGACUUCCGUUAACCAGGUCAAGGCGGA